rnacentral:lncRNA from 1 species
GAAAAAGCUGCACCAGCGAUCCAGAUUUCUUGACUCCGCCCUAGUGUGCCUCCCACAGGACCAUCUCUGAACCACGGAAUCGCUUUUCAUUGUCGCAGCCUCUUCUGCACGCACGCGCAGGGUUCAAGGCUUGAGGAAAGUCAGGUAUGACCAGGUUUUGAACCAGUACCGGGAAGCUAAGCCAAGAGCAGCCCAUCCAUCCACUGACUGGUGCAUGGGCAGCCUGGUGUGUGCUGCAUGCUGUCCAUCUGAGAUGAAGGAAAGAGUUGUUCCGGACUAUACAGCACAUCAACCAACACUGAGAAUUCAGCCUGCAUCAUUGGGCUGAACUGUGCUCCAUAGAGGCCACUACAUCCUAAAGAAUAAAGCUUGAGAGAAUCCAUAUGAAGACUUGAGUCAGAUUUCAUCUUUUGAAAGACUGACUAACCAGGACUAAGAACACUAAUUAGGCCAAGAAUUUUAAUCAGGAAUG